rnacentral:rRNA from 1 species
UAGGGAAUCUUCCACAAUGGACGCAAGUCUGAUGGAGCAACGCCGCGUGAGUGAAGAAGGUUUUCGGAUCGUAAAGCUCUGUUGUUGGUGAAGAAGGAUAGAGGCAGUAACUGGUCUUUAUUUGACGGUAAUCAACCAGAAAGUCACGGCUAACUACGUGCCAGCAGCCGCGGUAAUACGUAGGUGGCAAGCGUUGUCCGGAUUUAUUGGACGUAAAGCGAGCGCAGGCGGAAUGAUAAGUCUGAUGUGAAAGCCCACGGCUCAACCGUGGAACUGCAUCGGAAACUGUCAUUCUUGAGUGCAGAAGAGGAGAGUGGAAUUCAAUGUGUAGCGGUGGAAUGCGUAGAUAUAUGGAAGAACACCAGUGGCGAAGGCGGCUCUCUGGUCUGCAACUGACGCUGAGGCUCGAAAGCAUGGGUAGCGAACAGG